GAUGAACGCUGGCGGCGUGCCUAAUACAUGCAAGUCGAGCGAACGGACGAGAAGCUUGCUUCUCUGAUGUUAGCGGCGGACGGGUGAAUAACACGUGGAUAACCUACCUAUAAGACUGGGAUAACUUCGGGAAACCGGAGCUAAUACCGGAUGAUAUUUUGAACCGCAUGGUUCAAAAGUGAAAGACGGUCUUGCUGUCACUUAUAGAUGGAUCCGCGCUGCAUUAGCUAGUUGGUAAGGUAACGGCUUACCAAGGCAACGAUGCAUAGCCGACCUGAGAGGGUGAUCGGCCACACUGGAACUGAGACACGGUCCAGACUCCUACGGGAGGCAGCAGUAGGGAAUCUUCCGCAAUGGGCGAAAGCCUGACGGAGCAACGCCGCGUGAGUGAUGAAGGUCUUCGGAUCGUAAAACUCUGUUAUUAGGGAAGAACAUAUGUGUAAGUAACUGUGCACAUCUUGACGGUACCUAAUCAGAAAGCCACGGCUAACUACGUG
rnacentral:rRNA from 1 species